GCUAUAAGCCCGUGAACUGAUCCGACCGGAAACUCUGUGCACUCAAACACACACAAAUUGCAUACGUCAUACCUUCUACUUUCGUUUUCCUAUAUCCGGAAGUUGUCGUCUGAAGUAGAGUUAUCUUUUCUUGGCCUAAGAGUUCAAAACUGUGCAGCAAGCUGGGAUUUUAUGUGGAUAAAAACUAUUUACAUUGGGAAUAUUUGGAAUAUUUGAGUCUGGAUAAGUUCUAGGACAUCAUUUGCAUUAGUGCAUACGAGGAUUUGUGUAACUUUUUUCAAGUAAGGUGUUUUAUGACUUUGUUUACAAAUCGUGUGCUACUUUCGAUUCUUCCCUUGUGUAUUUAUAUAUGUGUGAUAGAGAACAGAGCGGAUAAGAUGCCCCUGUGGCUAGUCUGAUAGGUCUACAGAUCGAAGAAUGCCAAAUGUGUAAAGAACAAGUUUCCAGGAUUAAGCCAGCCAGUAGAUGAGACUAUUAUAUCAAAAAUACAUUUACUUGCACAAGAGGGCACACAAAGCGUUGAUGAAACAAAAAGACAUUUCCGUCUGUUUGUAAAGGAUACUAUUUCACUAGGGAACACCAUCUCAGAAUUUAACAGAUGCUUUUACCCUGCCAGUAAGGAUGUAAGAAAUCACAUUUACAGGGCACCGAGAUUUUGCCAGGUAGUUUAGAACUGUGUGCAUUGGUUUUGGAAGAAUUUGGGCUGUUUAGGCUAAAAUCCAUUAUGAUUGGACAGAAUAUGAACACACACAUCCAAUACUUCAAAGAUAUUAUGUUUGUGGAGGCAGAGAUUUUGAUUGCAUCCACUGUUUAGAAUACAUCCUUAAGGGAAGCAGACUGCUGCCUUUACCCAAUGAUAUAAUGAUUAAUCAUAACUAUAUCUGUUUUGUACCAAAUAGAAAGAGCAUUGAUUCAGGUCAUUUUCAAAUCCAUUGGCAUACAUUGUACUAUACAUGCAACCUUUUCAAACUUUACAUUUAAGAUUUUAUAAAGGAAAUAUCUUAAUGUUUCACAUGUUUACCUUUCACUGUGCUAUGUAAUUCAUUAUACCUGCCAUUAUGCCAGUCUUCCUGAACAUAAUUUGUUUUCUGCAAUUUCAUUGGCCAAGAGGCUUAAUCCUGGGUUAUCAGAUUGAGCAUUUAUAUUUAGUAUCCCAUUGAUUUUGUCAGCCCUAUAUAAGGAACUGACUCAGAUUUACUCACUCUGCUAGGUUAAAGAACCCUAAGGUUUGUACUUUUCACAUGAAUUUCAUGUUCGCCUCUUAUCUUUUACAUAGAGUAGGAAAUGAAAAUAACAUUGAGUUAGGGAACUAUUUAGAUUUUACAUUAUAAUAUGUAAAUACCUUAGCAGAGUCAAUUUACUUGGUUCAGGGUAGUAUCAGAUAUUACUUUUUCAGAGUUUAAGUGUUUAGGCUAUCUCAAUGUUUCUAUAGUUAGCCUUGUCCUAUGUUACUUUUAGAUGUAUGGAAGCCUUUUAGUGUUAUAACACUAUAUUUAUGCCCCCAUUCAAAGAAGAGGGGCAUAUUGGUUUGCACCUGUUGGUCGGUCGGUAGACCACAUGUUGUUCGCUUAAUAUCUUAAGAACCAUUCACUUGAUCGUAAUAUAUUUCAUAUGUGGGUUGGUUAUGAAAAGAAGAGGACCCCAAUUGUUUUUCAGGUCAAAAUGUCAAGGGUUAAUCUACUCUGGACAUAGGAAGACACUGCCUGCUCAAUAUCUUGAGAACCCUUUGCUUGACAGACAUCAAACUUGGUACACUGGUACAUCUCAAGGAGUAGAUUUGAGGUCACAUCAAAAGUCAAGGGGUAAACUGGACAUAGUAAUAUAUUGUCUCUUAUGUUUUAAGAAUUAUUUGCUUGAUUGACACCAAACCUGGUACAGCAUAAGGAGUAGAUGACCCCUAUUGAUUUUUAGGUCACUUGGUCAAUCCACUCCUGACAUAGGAAGAUAUUGUUUGCUCAAUAUUUCGAAUUGAUGAUACUACUAUCAAUCAAAUUAUGCAUGUGUAUAACCCUUUUCAAUUUUGCACCAUGGGGGCUUAUAUGUUUUACAAACACCUCAUGUUUUAUAGUUUGUGAAAGCUUGUUAGGGUCAUAACAUUAGAUUUUCUUAUUAUGGUACUUGCCCGUCAGAGACUGGACAUAUUAUGGUAUGGUGUUGUCUGUCCGGACCUUGUAAGAUGGGAUACAGACUGAACCGUAAGCUCCAGAAUCUUACAACUUGGUACAUUUGAUCACCAUAAAAGGAAGAUGCUUAUUGUUUUUUAAGGUCAAGGUUGUAGGUUCACUUAAUAGGAAAACCUUGUUUGAGAAAAUAACAGAUUCUUGAACUGAGUAUUUUGAGGAAACAUUACAUAGAAAGUACAUGAUUUGUCAAAUUUCUCCCAAUAUUCAACUGAGAACCGUAUUCUGCAGAGUAUUUGUAUGGGUAUGGAAAAUGUGUAUGUGCCUAUGAUUUUGAUUUUUGUUUAAUUUUUUGUUGUUGAAAAUUACAGGUUUAACCGAGUCAGUUUUUGAGGAAAUAUACAUGUAUUAAAUAAAUGACGGUUUGACCUUUUAACUCCUCUCACAGUUUUGAAGCUAGGGUCUUUGUAAAUAACUUCUUUGGUGUUUUAGAAUAUUUACAGAUUGUUGAUCAUGGUCAAUUUUGGGGAAAUAUUUUCCGCAGAGCUCUAGUUGUCUAUCUACCGGCCUCCUGUCACUUUUAAGUUAAGGAGCUUUUAUUCAUGGAAAGAAAGUAUGUGACAGCCUGAUGAUGGCUGAUACUAUUUAAAGCCUUUUUAUACGCCCGUCUUAAGACGGGACGUAUUAUGGUAUGGUGUUCAUGUCCGUCCGUCUGUUAGCUUUUUCGUGUCCGACCCGUAACUUAAAUACUACAAGGCCUAGAAUCAUCAAACUUUGUCUGUAGAUACAUCUUGGGUAGAAGGUGUGUCGCACAUUAAAACCAGGUCACUGUGACAUUUCAUUAAGAAGAUAUCCGUCUGUCCGUCCGUCUGUUAGCUUUUUCGUGUCCGACCCGUAACUUAAAUACUACAAGGCCUAGAAUCAUCAAACUUUGUCUGUAGAUACAUCUUGGGUAGAAGGUGUGUCGCACAUUAAAACCAGGUCACUGUGACUUUUCAUUAAGAAGAUAUCCGUCUGUCCGUCCGUCUGUUAGCUUUUUCGUGUCCGACCCGUAACUUAAAUACUACAAGGCCUAGAAUCAUCAAACUUUGUCUGUAGAUACAUCUUGGGUAGAAGGUGUGUCGCACAUUAAAACCAGGUCACUGUGACUUUUCAUUAAGAAGAUAUCCGUCUGUCCGUCCGUCUGUUAGCUUUUUUGUGUCCGACCCAUAACUUAAAUACUACAAGCAGGCUGUCCAGCGGCCCUAAAAUUCCUAAUUUUUUUCAGUUAUGCUAAAAUUCCUAAAAAAAUGUAAAAUUCAAGGGGAAAUCCUAAAAAAGCCCUUAUUUUUCAUGUCAAUUCCUACUUUUUUAUCAGUCUUGAAAAAUCAAAAUGCAUUCAUACAAAAUGUGUGUUAUUAACGUAGAUUGCAGUUCUUAUUCAGAUAAUGCUGAUGCAGUGAAAGGCAGUUGACCUGUGGAUCCAUGUGUCAAGCUUGUUUAUUGGUUGUGACUUUGUAAUAAAUAGUUGAGAUUUUAGGUUAUAGCCAAUAAUAGCUGAGACCAUGGAACACUGGAAUACGCCCUUCCUGUACUUACAUCUUAUUUGUGUGUCAUGUGAGUUUCUUUAUUGUCAAAUUUGACAAGGUAAGUCCUUUUAAAUAAUUAAAACUUCCGCAAUUUGGUUAAAAAUUCCUAAUUUUAGCCCUAAUUUUUUAAAAUUUUACCCCUAAAAUUUGCCCUUAUUUUUUGUCCAAGGGUGCUGGACAGCCUGUACAAGGCCUAGAAUCAUCAAACUUUGUCUGUAGAUACAUCUUGGGUAGAAGGUGUGUCGCACAUUAAAACCAGGUCACUGUGACUUUUCAUUAAGAAGAUAUGGCCAUAUAUGGCAAAAACUUGUCCGGCUCAUAACUUGAAAACUAUUAGACCUAGAAUCACCAAAAUUGGUCAACUAAUGCAUCUUAGGUAGAAGGUGUGUCGCAUCCUACUUUAAGGUCACUGUGACAUUUAAUUAAGGUGAUAUUAAAAAAAUGUUUUAAUGGGUACAAUCUAUACUGUUAACAAUAUGUGACGGGCGUAUCAUGUGCCGUGGCGGUGCACUUUAUUCUAGAAAUGGCAUCAGAAAAACACCCUAUGUAACCUUUUCUGCUUGUACUCAUUUAUUUUUAUUGGAAAACUUAUUACUUGUUAUCAGCUACUCUAAAACAAUAUUGACUUGUGCUAUAAUAAAUUUGUAAACUUUA